rnacentral:rRNA from 1 species
CGAACGCUGGCGGCAUGCCUAACACAUGCAAGUCGAACGAGACCUUCGGGUCUAGUGGCGCACGGGUGCGUAACACGUGGGAAUUUGCCUCGGGGUAUGGAAUAACUCAGGGAAACUUGAGCUAAUACCAUAUAAUGUCUUCGGACCAAAGAUUUAUCGCCCUGAGAUAAGCCCGCGUAGGAUUAGCUAGUUGGUGAGGUAAAGGCCUACCAAGGCGACGAUCCAUAGCUGGUCUGAGAGGAUGAUCAGCCACACUGGGACUGAGACACGGCCCAGACUCCUACGGGAGGCAGCAGUGGGGAAUAUUGGACAAUGGGCGAAAGCCUGAUCCAGCAAUGCCGCGUGAGUGAUGAAGGCCUUAGGGUUGUAAAGCUCUUUACCCGAGAUGAUAAUGACAGUAUCGGGAGAAUAAGCUCCGGCUAACUCCGUG